GGUUCUGUGGCCGGGGAACGGGAAGCCCCCGCUGCCUGGAGCCCGCCCCGGCCUCGCGGGUAGGCCUCGGUGCGUCCCUGGGCUCGGGUAACCAAGUUCCCGGGGCGGAUCCGGCCCGGCCGGGCAAGCAAACUCCCUACUCGGUCACCAGGUCGGAGGGAGACGCGCUCACGGCCCGCUAAGGGCCUCUCGCCCGGCGUGCGCGAUCUACCUAAGCCAGGUUUUGGUACAUGACCACGGUGAGGUGUAUUGGUGGUCAGGGGUCGUUUUGGACUUUGUUUUGCGAUUUAAAAACAUGAUGGGGGUACAGUCGCAAAUAAGCGGACGGCUCUAGCCUGGUCCUAGGACACAAAGAGAAAAAAUGUUUAGGGCCAGUGUAUAGGCGUUGAGCUGGGAAAAAAUAAGUUAACUUCAAUUUGCUGCCAUAUGGUUUAAGGGGGGGGGUGUUUUCUUUGUUUCACUACCACAGGUCUUUAAAUAAAAAGUACUAGGAGACUUGGAGAAAAGUUUAUCCUGGUAAGGUUAAUGCAAGAUCGUAGAAGUUGCUUGAAGAUAUUGUGUACUCUUGAUGUUAAAAUCCUGUAUAGGUGAUGUAGGAGUGGAGAAAGUUUAGUGAGUCAGAUUCGUGUGUGCAUCACACCGUUGGAAGGGAAUUCUUAGGGAAAUACAGGCCUUAGAAUUUCUAGAUUGAAAAAACUCAGACUGAUCAAAAUUAUAUUUAGAGCAAAUAUCAAGAUUUGGAUUACUAAUUGUAAUGUUUAGAUUGACUCAGUAUAUUGUGUCCAAGGAUUCUGUAUUUUAAAGUCAUGAAACUAAUAGGAGACAUGCUGUAUUUUCUUCACUUACUGUGUCCAAGUGUUGGACCUUUUUAAUAAGGUACAUAGGCUCAUAGAAAUAUUUAGAAGCCAUGCCUGUUUUCCCAUUUUUUUCCUAUUUAAUGGAAAUACAUUUCCUAUCUUGUAAUUUAAAAUAAGUUGUAGUUAAAGUUAUAAUCAGAAUUUAAUUUGGGAUAUCAAAGUUUAUCUUAGACUGUAGUUGUGUGUACAUUGACUGCCUUCCAGACAAAAUGAAAGUGAGCAAUGGCUGCAGGCUCUCUUACUCAUAAGAACUGGGAGAGUUAAAAAUUAUAGAAUCAUAGUAAUGGAAGAAGAGUGUUUCAGACUCAUUCUCCUGUUUCAAGAAAGUAUCCAGGUACACCCAAACUAAGUAUUUUAAUUGAAUGAUGUCCCAGGAAGAUUUUUUUUACACUCAGUAAUCUUCUAGAGUAAUUAAAAUCCCAUUCUUGAAUGUAACACAAAUUCUGUAAUUUAAGCCCCUUUCCCCUUAUUUGGUCAUAUGGAAAGCCAUGUGGUCAUGAAACUUACUUUUAGUUACUUGUAUAUUAGGGAGCCUCAGCACAUGCAUAGCACACCUUUUCUGAUAACUUACAAAGUGACAAAUGUUUCUGGAAAAGGAAUGUCCCUAUAAUAUAUCAGUUUAAGUCUUAUAGCACAGUAUUUAACAAGGGAUUACUUUUUAAGGGUUUAGUUUAUGGCCUGAGACAGGAACAGCAAUCUUAUUAAGAAUCACAUUUAAUUCAUUAGAUAAAUAUUUUGUGCAAAUUUAGUUUGUUGCCAAUUAUUUUCAUCAGUAGGAAUUUAGCCUAUCAACAAAUGUAGAGUUGGACUCCCUCGGCUAGGGGUCAAAUCGGAGCUGUAGCUGCUGGCCUACACCACAGCCACAGCCACAGCAGCAGCAAGGUGGGAUCUGAGCUACGUCUGUUACCUACACCACAGCUCGUGGCAAUGCAAGAUCCUUAACCCACCAGGGAUCGAACUGUCGUCCUCAUGGAUACUCCUUGGGUUUGUUAACCACUGAGCCACAAUGGGAACUCCUAAUUUGCCUACUUUUGCUAUGGACUAGAGCUUUAGAGAUGAUGGAACUGAGAUUGUUGGGGGUCCAGAGAGGGCCCUCUCUCCUUGGUAUCACGUUAUUUCCUUUGGGCAGUGGAGGGUGAGUCGCUGGGCUGAAUCAGUUCUGUACCUGUUUCCAGCCGUACCAUGUAGAUUGGGGUAGAAGUCAUUGUUCCCGAGGGAUGGGAAACUCCCCACCUUCUCAAACCCUGUCUGAAUGGAGAUGGCAGUACUUUACAUUAAUUAAGCCUCCUAUUUGCCAGCCAGACUUUUCCAAUCAGAAUUCCAGGGUCUCUUUUAAUUCACUCUAUAAGGUUCCUGUCAUGUCAUUUUACAACAUCUGUGCCUGGUCACUUUACAUUCACCAUACCAACACCGUCUGGUUCCAUUUUAUACACAGUGAAGUCAAUCAUUUUCUACUUUAUUAUUAUUUUUAUUUUUUGUCUAUUUAGGGCUGCACCUGUAGCUUAUGGAGGUUUCCAGGCUAGGGGUUGAAUCAGAGCUAUAGCUGCUGGCCUACACCACAGCCACAGCAAAGCAAGAACCGAGCUGAAUCUGCGACCUACAACCAAGGCUCAUGGCAACGCCAGAUUCUUAACCCACUGAGCAGGCCCAGGGAUGGAAACUGCGUCCUCAUGGAUGCUAGUCAGAUUUGUUUCCGCUGAGCCAUGAUGGGAACUCCCUUCAACUUUAUUUGUGAGAGUGUUUUUUAAAUGUUUCACUAUGUAUUUCUUUUAAAUAUGUUUAAAAUAUAACUAUGUUAUUUAGAGCUUAAAAUCCAUUUCAUAGCUUUGUGGAUUAAAAAAAACCCAUCAAAUUACUCACUGCUUAUUAGCUAAAAUGAAAUUAUGAAUGUCCUUACAUGAAUUGGAGCAUAACUGAUUAUCUCCAGUUAGGAAUACAUGUAUUACCUUAAAUUAUUCAACCUUUUUUCUUUCUCUACUGUGUAUAAUGCACUGGACUUGGUGUGAAGAACGUGGGCAUGAAUGAAUGAGACACAGCUCCUCACCUUAAAUCUGGUGGGGAAAACACAUGGGUACACAGAUUCUCCAGUAUGGUUGGUGUCACAGCAAUGCCAGAUCCUUAACCCCCUGAGACAGGCCAUAAGGAAGGGAUCAACAAAUUGAUGACAAAAUAAUUACCAACUUUUUUCUUACUAACGUUGCCCAGUUUCAGAGAGGGUGAUUUCUAACUUUGCUUCUUGAAUGCUCUCCUAGGUUUUUUGUGGCUACUCUUAAUUUUAGAUUAAAUGAUUUGAAAUUUUGGAUUAAAUGGUUUGAGAUUUCAAGUCGAGUUCUUAUCUCUACCUGCUUUUUGAAGAUUUCCUAUGUAAAAAUAAAUGGACAAGUGAUCAUAUAGGAUGUUAUUCCCUGAAGCAUCUGAUACUGUUUACUUUCAAAAUGUAAAUACAAGAGUAGGCAGGUCAUUACUCUACUUUUUGAAAGUUGUACAAUCUUUUGAAAUUGUACCACUCUUUUGUUAGUAAAAUUGAAAUUUUGUCUUCUCUAAAAAAUGUUAUUUGAUGCUAAAAAUGUACAUGUAGACAGUCCCAGAGUGAACUGCAAUAAUUUCGUUUUCAAGAUUUGGGGACUGCAAAGCCAGGAUUGGCAAUUAGCAUGUGAUUUUAAUGUGGUGAUUUUUGCCUUCCUGUGGCAGAGUAAAUUGACUCCCACUGAAAAGAUUUUUGCCAUCAUGUCAGUUUUAUGAUCUGUUAAAAGAUUAUGACAUUCUUACUUAAAACUUUGUCAAUUUCAAUAAAGGAUAGAUAAGAAUGUAAAUAUUUUCAUUUCUGGGGUCUCGGAUUUCAUGAUUUUGUAUGGUGUUGAUUUUAAAUCCCAUUUUCCACGUAUAUUGACAUUAUACAUGGAAACGUAUAAAGCGAGACUACAGCUUGCUUCUCUUUUUAAACUAGAAAUUUAAUUUGGAAGAAAUUCCUUUUAGUCUUGGAAUUUUAAGAUGUAUUAGCAGUAGUCUUGUUUAAAGAUUGAAAACUUUUUCACAGUGGAAAAUUAGGAAAUUUCUGAUGUGAAGUGACCAAACAAAUCAUUCGCAUUAGGCUUGCAACAUUUCAGAGGAGAAAUCCAUGCCCUUCUGAGUCAUAACUUCAUUUUCAAAAACAUUUAUAACAUCUAUCAUAUACAUUUGCUUCAGUUUGGAUUUUUUUUUAGACUGGGGGUUCCAAAAGUUUUUGUGAUGAUUAAAGGAUCAUUGGGUUAUCCUAAAAAUAGUGUUUUUUAUUUCAUUAUAAAUAUUGCUGUGGGGCUACAUUCAUGAAUAUGGAAACAUUUCCUACCUUUCAUACUCAUAAAUUCUAAAAGUAAUGGUAUCUGUAAUUAAUACCUUUGUUAAUAAAAGUUUAAUUUCAUGUUAAUUUUAUUUUAUUUUUUGUUGCUUUUUAGGGCGCACCCACGCUGCAUAUGGAAGUUCUCAGGCUAGGGGUUGAAUCGGAGAUGCAGCUGCUGGCCUACAUCACAGCCACAGCAAUACCAGAUCCUUAACCCACUGAGCAGGGUAAGGAUAGAACCCAUGUCCUCAUGGAUACUAGUCGGAUUCGUUUCCGCUGCACCACAAUGGAAACUCCUCAUGUUAACUUUAGUGUUGUGCUAGGAGCCAUGAUGUUUCAUUUCCUUAAAACGAUAAGCUACUCUUUUUUUCAGUCACUGAAGUUAUUUAUCUAUUUAUUUAUUGUCUUUUUCCCUUUUCUAGGGCCACUCCCAUGGCAUAUGGAGGUUCCCAGGCUAGGGGGUCUAAUCAGAGCUGUAGCUGCAGGCCUACACCACAGUCAGAGCAAUGCCAGAUCCUUAACCCACUGAGCAAGGCCAUGGAUCAAACCCCCAACCUCAUGGUUCCCAGUCAGAUUUGUUAAUCACUGAGCCAUGACGGGAACUCCUGGAGUUAUUUAUUAAAACUGAGCAAAGAGCCCCUAAAAGAUAUCCAGAUCAGAGCACUUUUUAAAUGUGGUAAUUUUUAUAUAUUAUCUGUGUCCUGAUUGAUGUUGGUGAUAAUGGAUAAGGCAGAAGUUUCCUGAGGGAACACAUUACCUAGAUUCCAUGGGAAGGAAGUGAGUGGUCAAGAAAAGAGAGGGUGUUUGGGGGAUGGUAAGCUCAAGACCAGGAGGGUGAUGGCAGAAGAAAGUGAGGCAGGAGUAGACAUGAAGCUUGGAAAUGAUCUGUAGCCACAGGGAGUCAGAAACAAAAAACCAACACUCAUGCUGAUGAAAUGUCUUAGGACUUGGGUACCAGGAGGUGAAAACUCAGUGUCCUUGGAAACUAGCAAGAGAUGAAUUGCCUUGUUAGGCACUUUCCAGGGUGCCCUGCUGCCUUUCUCACCGCCCUCCCAUGGUAUUUGUUAAUCGUUGUUUUUAGCUAGUGACAAAGCAGAGUGUGAGUCCGUCUAGCUCAUGUAUGUGGUCCUUUUCUCUCUUCAUGGCUGCAAUAUCAACCAGCAGUCCAGCAGACUUUGCCAGAAGCCACAAGGGGUAUCAGGGAGAGAGUAUGGGUGGAUCUUUGCAGAUGUAUCACUGCUGUGAGAAAGAACCAAUAGAGUAAGCAGUGAGAUCCCGCUGUAUAGCACAGAGAACUGUAUCUAGUCACUUGUGAUGGAACAUGGUGGAAGAUAAUGUGAGAGAAAGAAUAUAUGUAUGUAUGAUUGCAUCGCUUUGCUGUCCAGAAGAGAUUGACAGAACACUGUAAGUCACCUAUAAUGGAAAAGGUAAAAAUCAUUUAAAAAAAAAAAAAAA
rnacentral:lncRNA from 1 species